UAGGUGAUGGAAGAAUAGGGAAGGCUGUGAGAAUCAGCCGCGGGCCCGCCACUGUAAGCGGCAGCUAGAUGAUAGGUUUAAAGCCGGCCACUGGUCUAAAAUAGAUCGGGAAGGCUCAUCAAAGCGCAACCGUUAGCCAGGAGACCUGCCUGAAUGAAUA
rnacentral:ncRNA from 1 species